GAAAGUUUAAAUGGUAAGUUGAGGUGUGCGCAAGAAAAUAAAAGGACGAUAAAUCUAACACGCUCGUGGAUUAAGUUCUCGAUAGUCCUUCGAAAGACACAAUUAAUUUGAUGAGAGAUCUAUUGCACUAUUACCCUAAUAUUUUUAUUAAAAUUUUGAUAAAAGAUGAGUAUUUUUCCUAGCGCUAAGUAUAUUUGGAAUAUUAGUUGGCGAAAAAAAAAUCAUGUUAAUAUCAUACUACCUAUGUCCUGAAAUAUAAAAAAAUCUAGUUAUAUACAUGGACAACUACGUGUCCAGAUGCAUAGCCUGCGUCCCUUAAUUUUAACACUAUUAGAAAACUGAGCAUUCGUCCUCAGUCUUAGUACCGGUUGGAUUUAACCCUAUACUAAUGUGAGCAUUAGUACCAGAUCUAACGGCUAGUCGACGAGGAGCCUCCACCCAAUCCAACCGGUACUAAGGGCCUUUAGUACCGGGUGGAGGAAGCUCUCACCAACUCCCCUCUCUCUCCCUUAUCUCCCCCACCCACUCAACCUUAUCCUUUUAUCUCCCCACCCACACCACCGGCCUUAUCUCCCCACCCUCCUCUCCCC
rnacentral:lncRNA from 1 species